GACCGCUUGGCGCAAUGGGAGCGCAUUCUCCCACAGAGAGAAAGGUUGAGCGUUCAAUCCGCUCAGUGGUCA